UGAAACUGAAACAACACAACAUUCUUAUCAUCGAAACCCAAAUUCCCAGAUUCAUCGAAACUCUCUGAAACUCAUUUCACCGAAACCCUUCUCUCAUCGCACAACUCUGAAAUUCAUUCGCACAGCUUCGAAUUCUAUUUGCACAGCUCAUUCGCUCAUUUCACCGAAACUCUUCUCUCAUCGCAUUGUGAAUUCGAACUCCGAAGAGAAGAAAGAUAAGAAGCUUCUGGAAAAGAAAAACAGAUGAAAUGAUUUCGUAUGAGACGAUCUCUGUCGUCAAUGAGUUCCCUCAUGAUCCUCAUAAUGGAGGAAGUUGAACAAGCUAGUAGAACAACUGUUGUAAGCUGUCAUAGAGUUCUGAGUAUGUUAUCUCAACCAAGAGAUAAGUUCAUCAUAAGAAUUUAAUGGUGGAAACUGGUGAAGCUGUGAAUAGGUUCAAGAAAGUUGUGUCUUUGCUUCAAGAUGGUAUGGGUCAUGCAAGAUUUAGGAAGUUUAGGAAUCAGAAACAAGUUCCUUUUCCUCAAAAUGCCUUCUUGGACAAUCCGGUUUGCAAGAAAUUGAACAACCAUCACACCAAGAAGGUUCACUUUAGUCAAACUACUUAUCCUGAGAAUUCGGGUUAGGAACUUGCAUUGACCGUGCGAAACCUGAACACUUUGUUGGAAUUCAGCUCUAAUGGGAAAAUUCCUCUUCCCCUUGCUCAACAAGCUGCGUCGAGUUAGUCGACUCACUAUUAGUUCUUUCAGCAUCAGCAGCAACAAAGGUUAAUGAUUGAAGACAAACUUGUUUGGAUUGUUUACAUUGUUGUUGCAAUUCUUAAGAUAGAACAAAGCACAGUUUGAGAUAAAAGCUCUUUGGCUAUUUAUUUUUCAUCUAUUGCAAUAUAGUUGAUUUUCUUAGUAAUUGUGACUUGGUUAAUAUGACAAAGAAGUGUGCUAUUGUUGUUCAUUUUAUUGAAGAUGCAAGACAUCCCCAGCUAAGUAUAGAAAUUUUGUGGGCAUGGUAGCUGUCAUAUUUUCUUAUGUUGCUUAGCUUGAUCAUAAAUAUCUUUAUUGUAUUCAAUGUGACUUUUUUCGGCUUGUCUUUUUCUAUAAUUUCAAUUUGUGGAAGCAUCUGCAUCAAGCUAAAGGCUAAGUUAAAUUUAUGAGGUCAAUAUUAGUUUAAACUGACAAGGUGAAUGGUUUAGAUAUUUUAAAAGGAGUUGGUCCAGUAGUUUUGAAUUUUUAGGUAUUAAGUUUGAUUUUGGCAUGCUUGUGGGUGCAUAACUCCGUACAAUUUUAACAUUAAAUCCUUAAGUUAUCUAGCAACAUGAGAAUGAUCAUUUUAAGAUUUUAAUAUGUAUCUUGCUUGAGUGUUUAGGUACUAACUCAAUCUAA